AUAUUCAUAUAGAUAUCAAGAAAUAAAAAGAGUUCUGGUUAUGCUGCAAGGAGGGAAUUCAAUUCAUUGACGGGAAUUCAGUUACACUUGCUUUCCAGGGAAGCGUUGCCUCCACAAAAUAUAUGAUUACAUUCUAGGAAUCAUCUAUAUACAAUAAAAAGAAUUAUCCAAGGAAGGCACAGAAAGAAUACAAGCUUUUUACAAAAACAGCUGAUGUGAGCAACACAGCUUGCUUUUCAUCUCAUGAUGGCACUGGAAGUCGCCCUGGAUCCUUUUGAUUAAGGAUCUCAUCACGGCAUUUUCACUGGCAAUUGUUAUUUGAGUUUCAACUUUCUCCCACCAGCCCUGCGACAGCUCUCCAACAUUCACCACUGCUCCACACUUUAGCAGGCUGUUCAAUCCAAGGCCCAUUCAUUAUGUUCAGAAUGCUACAUGCCUCGUUGUAUUCCAAAUCUGGUAGUAACUUUGGGGUGAGCAGGAAGCACUGUGGAGUAUUAGGUUGACUGGCAGCCCUCACUAAUUGCUGAAACAUCUUUCUUUCAUUAAUUGGGUCCAUUCCUUGAUUAAUCUCAUCAACUACCCUAAAUGGGCAGUUAGUAAGGUCUUGAAGAGAAACAAGAUAAAGAAUAGUUGAAACUGAACGCUCCCCUCCUGAUUGAUGAUGAGCGCUAAGUACUUGAAGUUGUCCUGCUUGCCUGAACUUUACUUUUAUAAGUAUUCCAAACUGAUCAAAGUCCUUGUCAUGCUCAUCUGAAAUUACAUUAAUAAACUCAAUUAGUAUACACAAUAAAGGGGUUUCCCAGUGUACAAGACAUCAAGCAUUGCUAAGGAGGAUCAGAUGUCCCCUUGCAUUGCAAGAGGGUGUUCUGUGUUUUGAAUCAUGACCAACAAAUUACCAUGGAACAACCUUAACCAUUUUACUGAACAUGACCUUCUUAUUAACAACUUUGCUUAUAAAUGAGGAAGUAACAGUUGACAAUAACUCAUCUAUCAUGAAUGGCAAUUAAAGCACCAUAGUGGUUACCCAAAGAAACCUCUCCUGCAACAGCCAUCUCCUGGAAGUUGCGACUGAAGGUUUCAUUUAUCCGAGUAACAAGGUUUCUCAAUGUUGGAAGCCAACGUUCCUGUAUAUAAUUCAAAAGGACACUUUUUAUAGAGAAAGAAGGCUAAUCCAAGACAAUCAUGUACAUGCGAGAACCAAUGAACAGUAGGAAAACCCACAAGAGAAAAAUAUUGAAUUCAUUUUAACUGACACCCAAUGAACAGUAGGAAAACCCACAAGAGAAAAAUAUUGAAUUCAUUUUAACUGACACAAUGCAAGUUGAGCCCUUUAUUACUGUGAGGUCCAUGGUUUGUCCACUUAUUCUAUUGCAAAGCUUCUAUAAAAAAUGGUAAGGAGUGCUUGGGAGAAUGCUAUUGGUUCAAGUUUCUUAGAACUAAUAGUUCCCCAACCAAUAAAUUGUAGCCCUUUUGUGGGAUUCUGGUAAAACUAUUUGCCAAAAUAUGAUCUCCAAGUUCCACAACAGAAGCUCUAAAAACAUGAUAUAUACAUAAAUAUGCAAAUCCAAUCCAUUACAAUAAACCUUGAUUGACACAAGUAGAAUAACCACCUGAAUAAAAAUUAAAAUCCUAAAACUUGCUGCAAAAUUACAGAAACAACUUUUACGCUAUAACUUAAUAAACAAGCUUUCAAAUUUGUUUUUGAAGCAUAAAUCAUCAUUUGCAGAUUAAAAUUAUUUUCCAGUCUUAAUUUCCUAAAAAAAGGCCAAUAUCAGAGCAUUUAUGUGUUCACAUAAGAUAAAUCUGGUAAAAUGACAACUUUUUAUAAUCACUAAUCACAUAAGGAAGCAACCGAACUUCAGUUA
rnacentral:misc_RNA from 1 species